GACGAACGCUGGCGGCGUGCUUAACACAUGCAAGUCGAACGGUGAACUCCGCUUGCGGGGGGAUCAGUGGCGAACGGGUGAGUAGCACGUGGGCAACCUGCCCUCAGCUCUGGGAUAACUCCAAGAAAUUGGGGCUAAUACCGGAUAUGACCGCUGACCGCAUGGUCUGGUGGUGGAAAGAUUUAUCGGCUGGGGAUGGGCCCGCGGCCUAUCAGCUUGUUGGUGGGGUAGUGGCCUACCAAGGCGACGGCGGGUAGCCGGCCUGAGAGGGUGACCGGCCACACUGGGACUGAGACACGGCCCAGACUCCUACGGGAGGCAGCAGUGGGGAAUAUUGCGCAAUGGGCGAAAGCCUGACGCAGCGACGCCGCGUGGGGGAUGACGGCCUUCGGGUUGUAAACCUCUUUCAGCAGGGACGAAGCGAAAGUGACGGUACCUGCAGAAGAAGCACCGGCCAACUACGUG
rnacentral:rRNA from 1 species